UAUUUGCGAAUAAUUAACAAUAUGUUUUUAUUGUAAAAUAGUUUUAAUAAUGUAAUGAAAAGUUAUAAUUCAAAUAUGCUUUCUACUUCUAAUAAAAAAAGUACAUACUUAUUAUUGUUUGAUUAAAAAAAGCAAGUAAGAGGCAAUAUUAUUUAUUGAUUGGUUGACAAAUACAUGCUUAAUUAUUAAAAAAAAUAAAAUAAAAAUUCACUGACGCUCGCCGUGAUUCGAACCUACGCAGUCCUGCUCAACAUUCCAUCACACCAUCCACCACACCAUUAAACAUUAUGCACUAUUAUUGACUGAGUUUCAAGCAAUUGUUUUAUUUUGUAUUGUAUUUGUGUGCUUACACCACUAGCUGUUGCAGCUGUAUGUACGUAACAAUUUAUGUUUGCGUAAUACCAAUUUGGAUUUCGUUGAGGAAAUUGACACCUUCAUAAAGUUCUGCGAAAAAAACAGCUAUGAGAAACUGCGUGAUGAAAUAUUGAAGUUGCAGCUAAAAGAAAACGUUCCCGAGGAUGAUUCGGAAUUAUGUUCGGAAAAUAACUGUUUGGACAAGCAAUUAUCAGUAAUAAGUCAUAAUUGUAUAUCACCAAAUAAAACAAAAAAGAUAAAUAAUUAUCUAGCAAAACCUACUUCAGUUUCUCCGCUUGUAAACCUUGAUUUUUAUUCAUCGAAUGUAGAAAAGGAUGCUUCACUUUUCCAGCGUAUAAACCCUGAUUUUAAUUUAUCGAAUCCAAAAGCAGAUAUUUCAGUUGCUCAACAUUUAAACUGCGAUUUUAUUUCGCCGAGUGUAGAAAAAUUCAUUUCAAUUUCUCAACUUGUAAAUCUUGAUUCAUCGAAUACAAAAAAAGAUGAUUCUGUUUCUCAGCUUCUAAGCUCAAAUUUUGAUUCCUUGAAAACAAACAAUGACAUUUCAGUUUC